rnacentral:rRNA from 1 species
GACGAACGCUGGCGGCGUGCUUAACACAUGCAAGUCGAACGGAAAGGCCUGCUUUCCCUUGUGGAUUGCGGGUACUCGAGUGGCGAACGGGUGAGUAACACGUGAGUGAUCUGCCCCCAACUUGGGUAUAAGCCUGGGAAACUGGGUCUAAUUCCCGAUAGGACUGCAGGGUGGUGCCUGUGGUGGAAAACGAUUUUCUAGUGGUUGGGGAUGAGCUCGCGGCCUAUCAGCUUGUUGGUGGGGUAAUGGCCUACCAAGGCGGCGACGGGUAGCCGGCCUGGGAGGGUGGACGGCCACAUUGGGACUGAGAUACGGCCCAGACUCAGACGGGAGGCAGCAGUGGGGAAUAUUGGACAAUGGGCGGAAGCCUGAUGCAGCGACGCCGCGUGGGGGAUGACGGCCUUCGGGUUGUAAACUCCUUUCGACCGAGAGGAAGCCACGUGGUUGGAAGGGUGGUGACGGUAGUGGUAGAAGAAGCACCGGCUAACUACGUG